UUGUCCUACCACCUGGUGGUGUGAUCCUGUCUUACUUUACAGGCUGGGCCGGUGCUUGGAUGACACCUCUAACGCACAGUGCAGCUGGUGACUGAGAAGAUGGUGAAUAAUACUGAGCCUUUGUCCAGAGUGGUGUUCAGCGGGCUCUGCUGCAGGUGCUGUUUGAUAAGACAGAGAAAUGGAACCUUGGCUCUUCGUGCUCAUUGUAUGAUGCUUUUUCACAAGGGUAACAAUAUUCAACCUUGUAUCCUGGUGAUAGCCCAACUUAGGGUGCCAUAAUUUCCUCUGCAACAUCUCUCUUUUUCUCAGCCCUGCAUCUUGGGGAUGUUUAGCAUGGAUAUGAGCUUUACGUAGCUUGCACUGGCUAGUGCAGGCUUUGUACAUCCUAUAAAGGCCAGCAGGUACUGUUUCUAACUAUAAGCCAAAUUCUACACCCACAUGCAUGGAUGCAGUUCCUAAUGAAGACAAUGGGAGCUGCAUCAGUAGACGGAAUUUGACUUGAAAUAAUUAACUCCCCAACGAUACUCAACGAUACCAUUUCUUGGUAAUGCCAUGUGAACAAAAUGAAAUGGGAUUUUCCAGCUCAAGCUGCUCCUGAGAGAGGAGAAACCCAAACAGAGAAAUGAACCACCCUAUUUUUCUUUCCUUGGCUGCUCUUAACUCUCUAACCGUCUAGUUUGCUUCAAACCUUCCAGAAACUUGAGUCCUUCCCAUGGCAUUAGAUUUUGCUUAAAGCAUAAACUAGGCACCAGCACCCUUGUCUAUGCUGGUCCACUCUUGGCAUGUCCUUGGUGUUAGUUUUUACCUUUGCUUUGAGUACUGCUUGGUGGAGGGAUUCUUUUGAUCAGUCUCUUCUGUGUGUUCCUCCAGCUUCCCAAGGGCACACCUACACAUGCGGAAAAUAAUGUCUGAAAUUUGGGGUGGAUUUUGAUUUGAUAGAAUGGAAAACUUCCCACAACAUUAAUUGCGCAGAAACUAGCAUCUCUUCCCUCAUCUCCUCCAGUUUCUGGAAUCUAAGAUAAUUGCCUUUGUGAGCACCACAGACGUACAUUACUUACUGCUCUCCUUGCAAUUCAGGUGCCAAUGCAUUGGUAUCUCAGAAUACGGUCCUGCCAUGGCUGUGAAAGUGCAGAAAAAGAACUGUGAUGUGAUUUGAGACAUGAUCAGCAGAGGGCAGUGUUUCAUAAUGCAGAGCAGAAAGGCUGUCUCAAUGGAAAGCAAAGGUAUAUUAAGACCCUAUCUUAGAUUGGGGUACACGGUAGACUACAUGUUUUGGAAGAGGUACGAAGCCUAAGAAGUUUGAAAACCACUGUCCUAGAAACUACAUUGUGGAGGACAUUCCAGUGCAGAUCAGAUAUUUCUGCCUACGCUGAUGUGGCUUUUGGUGCUGUAUUUGGGGCAUCUCCCUGGCUUCUACAGUUCAUAGCACUUUGCAAAUAUUUACCCUCACCAAGUCCCCUGGGAGGUAUGACCCCAUGACACAGGAAUGGAGAUGUGGCGUGGCCCGCCUGAGCGAAGGCAAACGAGACAUGGGCGUAGCAGAGCUGGGCGGCUAUCUGUACUGUGUAGGAGGCCGUGAUGGGAUGGUACACCUCAGCACUGUGGAAAAGUAUCGGAACCCGUGUGCGGAUGGACAUAACUUUCAUGGACUGUGCUCUGUAGGACUGCCAAUGUCUGAGUUCAUAGUGAACAACUGGGAUUGUUACAGCCACUGAAGUUGCCGUCUUGGCUAGAGAGCUUUUGUUUAAUAUGGAGAGAGGUGUCAAUGUUGACUCGAUGUCCUCCACAGCCAUGAGGCACCCAAUCUCCGCCAAUCAGGGGAGCUGGGACAUGGAGGAUUCUGGUUUGUAAUUCACCAGAUGGCCAGCGGUCUGCUCUCCUGUCUGGGUGCUGGUCGGAACCUGUUCUGUAGGCAGAGGGCUUAGGUCUCCUGGGCUCUUCAAUCUGACACCUUUCGCCAGCACUAAAUUCUCCUGUUUUGAUUUCUGAAAGGGCACAGAUCCCCCAGCCAAAGGACAGAGGAGGGCAAACAGGGCUUGUCUGAUAGGGAUUGUGAGUGGAAACGUGUGUAUCCUGUUCUCAGGGGGCCUUGUAUAGAGACAGGCUGAAUUCCAGACACCCUGCUCGUAACUUAGCCCAGAAAGAAGCUCUCAUGUGCCGUACCUGGGACAGUCUGGGGCAUUCUCUUGUUUUAGGUAUGAUCCUGGUGGGAACAGGUGGUGCAAGAUGGCACCCACGGGCUUAGGGAUGGCAGUGCUAGACGGCUACGUCUAUGCUAUCGGGGGCUCGGAUGGCCAGUCUCCGCUGUAUUCAGGUAACAGAGAUAAGUUGGCAGAGCAAUGAGCCCCUGUCUCAGAGGAGUGUAUGAUUCCCAUUGAUGCCCACACCAAUAUAUUUGGCCUUGGGGCUCUAUGGCAAUUUAGUCUCUCUCCACUGCUCUGCCUCCCUGCCCUUCCCCCCAAAAGCAGAGGGAGCCCUCCGCCACCUGGAGAGAAUGAGGAAGCUGGCCCAAGCAAGCAGAGCCCCCGGCGCCAUCCCCACUUUCCCUCCAGUGACACCUCCAGCAUGGAGUCAGAGAUGGUUCCAUGUUGCCCAUGCUCAGACCUGGCCACCCUUUGCUGCUCCCCAAUUAUGAAUCCUUUCCACUGUUCAAUCCGUUUAACGGAGGCCCAGGCGGGCAGCCUCCUAGCUGUCUGAUCCCUGGGGGUGUGUGGAUUUUUUUUGUUAACUUCUUGUGCGUCAGUAACAAAGCUUAGCUGCUGGGUGCUUUUAAUCUUCAAAGCAUUUUGCAGCCAUUAUUGACUCAGUCCUCUCAGUGUCCCUGUGAGGUAAGCGAGUUUUAUUUUCCCUAUUAGAUAGUGGGGAAACUGGGGCACAGAGUGAUUGAGAGAUUGGCCCAAGCUCCCAGAAGUAAAUCUAAGAUUUACCAAAGGACACAAGGGCCAGAGUUGGGAUUAGAACCCAGGAUCUUGUGGCUCUUUCCUGGGCAUCUUUCUUCUGGUUUCUCUCCCAGUGGAACGUUACAAUCCAGAGGAGGAUGCAUGGUCUUCUUGUUCUCCCUUGGGCACCUACAGAGAGAAUUUUGGCUGUGCUACGCUUCAAGGGAAAAUCUACACUGUCAGUGGCCACGAUGACUUCACGGAGCUCUGCAGUGCUGAGCGGUUUGAUCCAGUCACCAAUGAAUGGUCACCGAUGAUGCCCAUGAAAUCAAAGAGGAAUAAGGUAUUGCAUGCGAACAGUCUUUUACACUCCUCAAGCUUCCAUCCAAGGAUCCUGUAGUGCUUUGCGAUGGGGGUCUAGUUCAUUAUUACUCCCACAUCACAGGUGGGGUGUGGAUAUCACUGUGCUGGGACAGUAUAGGAACCUAAGCGCAACAGAUGGAGAAACCAAGGCACAGAGCAGGGAACUGACUUGCUCAAGACCACGCAGAAAGUCAGAACCAGAACGCUGUUUCCAGCCCAUUAGAUUGGUCCGGUUUUGUGCCGGUGGUCUUGGGUUAACGUUACAAUGUUACCCAACUCCGAUGCCCUUCCUUCUCCAUCCACCCUGCCAGACAUACCCUCCUCCUCAGAAAAAGGCUGGAGAAAGAGACAGGGUGUGCAGCAAGACCUGAAGGUCUCCAGAUCUGGGCUGGAGGAAUGAAUUCCAGAGUCGGUUGCCCCUCACCAAGAGCACCUUCUUCUCUCCCAUUGAAUCUGGAGACAUGACAGCUCAGGUAACCCGGACCCAAAUAAUUCAGGGUGCAGAUAAACCUCCAAGUCCUCAAAUUUCAUUCGGAGAUCAAUCAUCAGCCAGUUUGGGACACAUAGGGCAGAUAGAGUGUGUUCCCAAUGGGAACCACAACUGAACAGUUGGAUAUGGAGUACAGUGCCCAGGAAGAAGCAGCAAAAAAUAUUGUGAGUUUAAUAAUUUAUAAAUUUCUUUUGUAUUAGUUACCUCAUCCAAAUGAGGUUACCUUUUGGUUUCUUCCUGCUGGGGAAAGGAUAUUUGUUCCGGUGUAUUUUCUCUUCUGC